rnacentral:lncRNA from 1 species
CUCGAUGAUGAGAAUAUAUUGAUCUUGCACUAAGAAAUUUCUUUAAUCUCAAAAGUCUUAAACCUUAGCUUUUUGCCCUUUGAUAAUGAUGAUUUUCUAUUUUUCUCUCUCUAAAAUUGUGUGUCCCAUAAAAAAAAUCCCAAAAAAGUUGAAAUUUUUUAAAGUUAAAUGCACUUUGAUCUUGGAGUUAAUUGUUUCAAUGGUCACGGAACUUAGGUCCAUAUCUUUGAUUAGCCACUGAACUUUAAAAUGUCGAAUUUUGGCUAUUGAGCUUUGAAAAAUGUCAAGUGUUGGUCACUGAACUUAGGUCCAUGUCUUUGAUUGGUCAUUGAACUUUAAAAUGUCGAGUUUUGGCCACUGAACUUUGAAAAAUGUCGAGUUUUGGCCACUGAACUUAGGUCUAUGUCUUCAAUUGCUCACUGAAAUUUAAAAGGUCGAGUUUUGGCCACUGAAUUUUGGAAUAUGUCGUAUAUUACUUACUAACAUAACUGUUGAACUUUGAAAACUAUCGAGUUUACAAUGAAUAAUGUACAACAUUUUUAAAAUUCAGUGAGUAAUGUACAAUAUUUUUCAAAGUUCAGUAGUCAAAACUCGACAUUUUAAACUUCAGUGAGCAAUCGAAGACAUGAACAUAUGUUUAAUGACCAAAACUCAACAUUUUUCAAAAUUCAGUGGCUAAAACGCGACAUUUUAAAGUUCAGUGGCUAAUCAAAGACAUGGACCUAAAUUCAGUGACCAAAACUCGACAUUUUAAUGUUCAGUAGCCAAUCAAAGACAAAGACCUAAGUUCAGUGACCAUUGGAACAAUUAACCCUUGAUCUUGCACAUUAAGUUCUG